UUAAUAAAUGAAAAAUUAUAAAUAAUAUUAAAGGUAAUAAAAAUGUGAGGAUUGGAUAUAAAAAACUUUUAAAGCAUACAAAACCGUUAAAAGUGAUAAUUAAAAAGCAUAAAAAAAAUCUUGAAAACUAAUUCAUAAAAAAAAACAAACCUAAAAUAGUUUGAUCUCAUUGAUCUUUUUGUCAUCCAGUGGAGAUCUCUUUUCCUCUCCUAUUUUUAUAGCAUCAAAAGCACCACUACAGUGAUGCGCAGCGGAGAUCUCUUUUCCUCUCAUAUUUUGAUUACAUGGCGGAUUAUGGCAUCAAAAGCCGUGAUGCGUAGCUGAGAUCUCUUUUCUUCUCCUAUUUUUAUGACAUCAAAACUCUCCUAUUUUUAUAGUAUCAAGAGCACCACUACCGUGAUGCCUAAAAUACGUUUUCCUAUAUUUUAGAAAUUUAUAUCCAAUCCAAAAUUUACAUAAAACCCAACACAGCAGUACAUACUUCUCUCUCUUUUGGUUAUCUAUAUUUCUAUAAUUUUAGAUUAUUUUAUCUCAAAUCUAAAGAGGUACAUCUUGUGUUUUCCACUUUAGAUUAUUUUCUCCCAAAUCUAAAAAGGUACAUUGUGUUACUGUGUUUUCCUUUUUAUUUUUAUUUUUUAUUGAGGUACAUUUUCUUCCUGUGUUUUCCUUAUUUUUUAUUUUUUAUAGAACUUCAUGUAAGCCAUGUAACUUGAUGAGAUUUAUGGUUUAUAAACAUGAUUAAGGCCUAAAUAGAUGGUUUAAUUUCAUUUUUUUCUUUAUAUUGUGAACCAUUGUUUAACACUAGCACUUUUGUAUGGUUUGUGCUUUGACAAUUAGAUUUCAUAAUUUCUUUUAAAUAUUUAUUACUGCUUUAUGCAUAACGUAUUAAUAAAACUUGCAACGAAAGUGCAAGGUACUUGUCACAUAUUAAGCCACUGGAUACUUUUUCUCUCUCUCUCUCUACUCUAUAGGCCUUUACAUAGUUUAUUAUUAUUUUUAAAUAGCCAAUAUUUAAAGCUUCUCUAUUUAUAUAGUUUAUUUAUAUGGUGUAAACUUAGCUUUGUUCUCUUCAUGCUAUAGUAAUAGUUUAAAUGUAGUUAAUAUACACCAUAGUUAUUUUACGCUAUAACUAAUUUUAAAAAUUUACACCAUCGUUUCGAAAUAGCUGAUUUUAAAUUAUUUUCUGCAAGAUUAUUUACACCAUAUGGCUUUGAUUUUAUACCAUAAAGCUAAUUUUAAAGCUAUAUAAAUGAGGUUUUGUGGUGUAAAAAAUGUCAACAAAAGAAAUUAAGCAACACGACGUCUGUCUCUUUUUUCUGUUUUCUUUUUCUUUUUUCUUUUUCUUUUUUAACCCUAAAGGAAAUUAAAACAAUACAAAGGAAAUAAUAACCCUAAAAUAUUUAAUAGUCCGCAGAUUUCUAAACAAUGAAAUGAGGUCUCAAUAUUCACAUAUUUUUGUAAAAUAGUGAAAGUACAUAAUGCACCACCCUUAAAUUUUUUUAAAACUAAAAAAAUAUGUUUACGGACUUUUAGUUAUUUUUUGAAUUUUUUUGAGGCCAAAAUGGAUCGAUCCGAUCGAUUCACCGAUCCAAAUCACUGAUCUCUGUCCCGAUUUUGAGGUGGCUAAUCCGGGCCACCGAUCAUUUUUUAAGGAAAAAUUACAUAUAUAUCCGUUAUACUUUCCGUUAUUACCAAAAUACCUAAUACUUUAUGUUAUUACUAGAAUGUCCGUUUUUUUCACUUCAUAACAAUUUUUUUUUAAAAAAGACGUUUUUACCCUUUUUCGGUUGUUUAACAACCGAAAUGGCUGGAAUUUCGGUUGUUCGUCAACCGAAAAUGACCUUGAUAGUUUAACGUUCAUCUUCUUUGUUGCUCUCUAUGUCUAUGUGAGUUUUACUUUUUGGUUUUUGAACAACUGAAAUGGUUAUGAUUUCGGUUUCUCAAAAACCGAAAAUGACCCUGAUAGUUUUAACAUGGUUAUGAUUUCGGUUUCUCAAAAACCGAAAAUGACCCUGAUAGUUUUAAGAGUUUAUUUUCUCCGCUCUCCAUGUCUUUGCUCUAUGAGUGCUAAACAAAGGUAGCUAACAACUCUCUCCCAAACAACCUAACUUUAUAGUUAUGUGCAGCUCAGGAUUUAUUUUGUAUUUUAACAGAAUUUCUCGGAUUUUGAAGGCAUUUCACAGAGUGAAGGUAUGUGGGUCGAUUUUAGAAAUUUAGACGGUACAAGAUUGUGAUUUAGGGUUUAUACUCAAGCACACUAAUUCUUUCUCGUGAAAUUGAUUUAGUUUCAAUUAAUUUGUGGGUCGAUUUGAUUGUAUAAGAUUUUUAAAAUUUGGGGGUUUUGAGAACUAGGAAUUUUGGGAUUUCUGUAGAACUCAAAGUUUUUACAAGAUGUUGUAUUGAGUUGAUUACUUUUUUUUAGUGUCUAUGGGGACGUUCACAGGACUGUGAUUGAAUGAUUUGUUUUGAUUGCUUUGUUUUUAGAACUUGAAAUUUGAUGUGUUGCUUUGUUUUGAAUGUUGUGCAGAUUUUACAUUAUAUUGUAUUGUAUGUCAACUUUGAUACUCUUAGAUAGUUUUAAGUACAGAUUUGUAAUAGAUUUAGUGAUAUCUUAGGAAAGGGUUGAUUUUUGUUGUUGAUAGAUUGAGUAGCUUAACAAUGAAAAUUUGUAUGUGAUUUAUGAUUCACGUACAUAUUUACUUUGAACAUUUUGCAAACUCUUGUGGUUUUAGGAGUACGUAGGAAAUAAAUUACUGUAUGCAUACAGACUUCCAUAUUUUGGAUAGAAUAAUUCGUGACUAGAUUUAUUUGAGAGCUCAUUCGAUAUGUAAAUUUGUGAUCACUUAUUUGGAGGUCUAAUACGUGAGUUAACAUUGUUUCAUUGAUUCUAUAUGCAAAUGCAUUAUGAGUUAUUGCUGUCUCGAUAUUCAUUCCUUUAUAUUAUCAUGUUCUUUUGAUAGAGUAGUACUUGUAUUAGAACCUCUAAGUUGAGUUGAAGAGCUAUACAAUUAGGUUGUUUGUGCGUAAAAAAAAUGGUUUUUUUAGGUCCAUAACAUUAGGUUAUGGUCUAAAAUUGAUCAGUUUUUUGGUUUAAUAAUAGCAUGUCAUUAUUUUUUUUUUGUUAUUCAGUUAAGUUUUGAAUAUGUAACGUUAUGAUUAACAUGGUGACCAUAUGGGAUUUCGGUGAAUAUAAAUCGUGUACAUCUUGAUGGGGGGAUACCUAGGAGGUCCUCAAGACCCUAAUUUGCUUCAACUUCAUUCAGAACAUUCAUCAUAUUUCAUAUGGGAAGGACAAGUAUAUGCAUAUAUUCAUUUGCUAUUUCCAUUACUUUGUUAUUUUUCAAUAAAUUGUAGUCUGUUUAUACAUCAUACGGGAAGUACAUGUAUAUAUUUUGUGAUUCAUAUAUUGUCUAGUUGCUGUAUUCCAGGAAAAACAAGAAAUUAGAAUCGAUGAAAAAAGUUUUCAAUUAAACGAGUGACAUCUAACAGAUGAGCAAGUUGGGCGAGUGAAUUCGUAUGGGUUGGGUGCUCUAUUUAUAAUCCAGACAGGUCGAAUUGAUCAUCCUUUGAUCGCAGCAGCCAAUGUAGAUAGGCGGUGUUCAUUUCAUUAUAACAUUUAAAUUGGUGAGAUGACACCCACAUUAUUUGAUGUUUAUAAGAUAUUGGGACUGGCUGUGGAUGGCGACCCUGUUAUAUGUCGUCCUAUUAGUGACCUCCGAGAGUUCAUAGAAAACAAUUUAGGUAUAGUCCCCAUUGGAGGCAACUUGACAGUCAUCAAGCACUUAUGGUGGCAAACUUUCAUACAUUGCCACCUGAUGCAACCCCUGUGCAAGUUGUUAGAUAUACCCGAGCCUACCUGCUCUACUUCAUCAACAUCACCAUUUUUGCAGAUUCAUCGGUUGCAAUAGUGCCAACGAGGUACUUACAGUUCUUUGAGGAUAUUGAAGAAGCCGACAUAUAUGCUGGGGGUGCUACAUCCCUUGCACAUCUUUAUCAAUCUCUUGGAAAAGUUUGUACUUUCAAGCGAAGUCAUUUUAGUAGUUCAACCACUCUUAUGCAGGUAAAUUCUAUUUUUGUAGCUAACAUAAGCCAAAUAGUUUAGACUACUUUCCAAAAAAAAAUACUUAUCAUAUGUAAAUAUAAUGUUGUUCUGGUCUUAUGAACAUAUUAUGCAUAUGAGGCCCAUACCGCAUAGUAUCUUUCUAAAUAUGCCCCGGGGGCAAAAAGAUGGGAGCCACUGAAGAAUUAUUAUGGCAAUCCACAUAAAUUGAUGUCUCCCAUUAGGUAAGAAUUCGAUAACCUCCAGCCUAAUGAGGUUAGUGUGUAUUUUGAUAUUACAAGAUUUGUUAUUGAUUAAUUUUAAUUGUAUUUAAGUAUUUGUAGUUGUUUAUUGAUUGAUUGUCGUAUGUUUGAUUUCAUAUCAUAUAACAAGUAAUACAGAAUCCCUAUUUCAAGGCUGAUGAGGCCAUUUCAAAUGAUAGGUUGCUGGCAUUCGAAACCGCAAUGUGUUUUAACAACCCUGAUAUUUGAUGAUAUUGCCGAGCCGUAUAUGCUAGACGUGUGUGUCGGCAUCCAAGAAGUCCCAUAUAUGUUGGUCAAAGGUCUAGUAGACAAGGUGGGCAGCAAGAUUGGAGAAAUGUAAAUUCUAACAAGAUCCAUCAAUGGUUAACUCAAUAUGAGCGCAUGAUGCCAGGCAUUGAAGUGGAUACUGUCAAUGGGUUGCCGUUAGAGGAGUACAAGGCCUGAUACGACCUAGUGUCCUAUCCUAUAAUCCAUAAUGUCGCUAACUCACCAAAUGACAUAUUGUAACCUGCUAACCAGGAAGAAAAAGGGGUGGUUCUUGCACAUGAAACAUAGUAUAUAAUGAGACCUCGAGGUUAUGAGGACCAGUUGGUUAGUGCAGUUCAGGCUAGUACAGUCAUGUUAGCAGAGGCACUUACACUUAGACAUAAGUGGAAUCCUGAAGUUUAUAAUCACGUUAACAAUACGUUUGCAAUGGUGUCUAAGGUUGUGCCUAUCGACAUGGAUGAUAUAGGAGCCCAGAUGGAAAACUUAUAAUGUCAAGUUAAUAACGAAGAUGCACAUGACGAGCCCAGACAAGAUGUAGUCGGUGAAAGUAGUCAGGCUAUUGAAGACCUGGUUCCAUCUACACAACCUAUGGUUGAGGAGUUCAGAAGGCAUAAUACGCAAAAGAAGCAGUAUGAGCUUAAGAGAAAGCGGUCAAUGUAAUUGUCUUUUUAACCGUUGUAAUGUUAUCAUAUUGUAAUAAACUCCCGAGAAAUGUAAUGGUAUUUUUGGCAAUAUUUGAGUGUUUUGAGUUAUUAAGAUGUGUUACACUACAAACAUAUUUUUGUA